UUUAUAGGACUGACUGAAGCUGACUGGGUUUAGUUUUAAGUCGCUUUUACCAAUAUUCCAGCAUUAUCACAGCAGGGGACAGAAGAAAUGGGCAUCAC